CCAAUCAAGCCUCUUGCAGAUGCUCAAAUCGAUUGGA
rnacentral:sRNA from 12 species